rnacentral:rRNA from 1 species
UCCUGGCUCAGGACGAACGCUGGCGGCAUGCCUAAUACUUGCAAGUCGAGCGGACUUGAAGAGAAGCUUGCUUCUCUGAUGGUUAGCGGCGGACGGGUGAGUAACACGUAGGCAACCUGCCCUCAAGCUUGGGACAACUACCGGAAACGGUAGCUAAUACCGAAUAGUUGUUUUCUUCUCCUGAAGAGAACUGGAAAGACGGAGCAAU